GGGAAACUUACCAGGUCCAGACAUAGUAAGGAUUGACAGAUUGAGAGCUCUUUCUUGAUUUUAUGGGUGGUGGUGCAUGGCCGUUCUUAGUUCGUGGAGUGAUUUGUCUGCUUAAUUGCGUUAACGAACGAGACCUUAACCUGCUAAAUAGGAGCGCAUAUCUCCGGAUAAGCGCCUUUCUUCUUAGAGGGACUGCAUGCGUUUCAGUAUGCGGAAGUUUGAGGCUAAAA
rnacentral:rRNA from 1 species